rnacentral:rRNA from 1 species
GGGGAAUUUUGCGCAAUGGGGGAAACCCUGACGCAGCAACGCCGCGUGGAGGAUGAAGGUCUUUGGAUUGUAAACUCCUGUCAGUGGGGAAGAAAGGUCGCGGGCUAAUAUCCCGACGACUCUGACGGUACCCGCAGAGGAAGCACCGGCUAACUCCGUUCCAGCAGCCGCGGUAAUACGGAGGGUGCAAGCGUUAAUCGGAAUUACUGGGCGUAAAGCGCGCGUAGGCGGUCUGGUAAGUCGGGUGUGAAAGCCCCGGGCUCAACCUGGGAAUUGCAUUCGAUACUGCCGGGCUAGAGUAUGGUAGAGGGAAGUGGAAUUCCGCAUGUAGCGGUGAAAUGCAUAGAGAUGCGGAGGAACACCAGUGGCGAAGGCGACUUUCUGGACCAAUACUGACGCUGAGGUGCGAAAGCGUGGGGAGCAA